UGGUCAUGGCUUUUCCUAGUAGGUGGUUGUCGCAUUUCUCGAAACGAUGCCGAAAAGAGCCUAUCAGUUGGUGGGACACGGCCGGCCCUCAUCUUUCUCUUUUUUCUCUCUCCUCGUCGAGCACCUCUCGGUCACCGGUUUCAAGGGAACAAAAAAAGAGAGGCCAAGUCGGAGAAAGGACCACGGCCGCGGGUUGGCAAAUGGAAAGGAUGUUUUCCCUGACGCAAGCCAGUCUCGGAGAUUCAGUUCGGUCCUCUUGCCAACGCGGUUGGAACUCGCUGGCACUGCUGGUACUGCUGGCAGCCUCUGGAUCGCCUUUGUUGCCCCGACGGACGUCCAGAAAGGCUGGCCCAUUCUGCCAUUAGAUCCUCUCGGGCCUAAUGGUGGGAACACUGGAGACCAACAAGCUGGUGGUGAAUAGAGUUGGAACAAGAAUGAGGAACAAACGCAAACUGGCUGUUCUUUAUUUAAAAAAAAGCCAUUCUAUCUUCGUUGUCUUUGGCUUUCAUUCAUCGGGUGACUCUGGUCCAAAUUGGCUUCACGUUCCAGUAGUUUCUCCGUCUCGUGGUCGUCUUCCAACCAACCCCCCCCCCUCCUCCGCCUGUUUGUUCGUCUUGUCUCUCUCCCCCGAUGCAGUGUCCUCUCCACCCAAUCCCAAAAUGUUCCUGGUCCAAUAUGAAGCGCUAAUACCUGGCUUUUCGGCGUCUCAUUAUUACUACGUGUAAUGGCUUUGAUGGGCGUUCCACCACACAUUGACCAUACGAAAGUUUAAGCCAAAGCGAGAGAGAACGAGGGAUCAUGACAUUCAUGCAGUUCAAAGAGAAAAAAAAAGAAACGGUAUGGACGGGAUGGCCGGCGUAUUAUGUCAUCCAAUGACCAUUGAAGAUCGGAAAAAAGAAGAUUUCAACAGAACGAGGAUUUGAUUUGGAGGGACUAUUGAUUUUGUUGUUCAGCUUUUGAAGGAAGCAGCAAAUCAUUUGUCUCCGUUCAUCAAGUUUCUCAGCUCACAUCACUUGAACUGGCCGCUCACCCUCCAACCAGCCGUCCAACCGAACGAACCAACCAACCAACGAACCAACCAACCAACCAACGAACCAACCAACC